GACGAACGCUGGCGGCGUGCUUAACACAUGCAAGUCGAACGGAAAGGCCCUGCUUUUGUGGGGUGCUCGAGUGGCGAACGGGUGAGUAACACGUGAGUAACCUGCCCUUGACUUUGGGAUAACUUCAGGAAACUGGGGCUAAUACCGGAUAGGAGCUCCUGCUGCAUGGUGGGGGUUGGAAAGUUUCGGCGGUUGGGGAUGGACUCGCGGCUUAUCAGCUUGUUGGUGGGGUAGUGGCUUACCAAGGCUUUGACGGGUAGCCGGCCUGAGAGGGUUACCGGCCACAUUGGGACUGAGAUACGGCCCAGACUCCUACGGGAGGCAGCGGUGGGGAAUAUUGCACAAUGGGCGGAAGCCUGAUGCAGCAACGCCGCGUGCGGGAUGACGGCCUUCGGGUUGUAAACCGCUUUCGCCUGUGACGAAGCGUGAGUGACGGUAAUGGGUAAAGAAGCACCGGCUAACUACGUG
rnacentral:rRNA from 1 species